rnacentral:rRNA from 1 species
AAAUAUUGGGUCACAGGGGCUCAGGGCCAACACGGGAAGAAAAAGGAAUAGGAGGAGGAACGAGUGUAGGUACAGACUGCCGGUCCCUACCGAGCGCAGCUACGAUCCACAGCAGCGACCAGAGGUACGGGUUACCGGUCUCUACCGAGACGCGCAACUACCAGAGGUGCGGACCACGGUCCAACCGGGUCUAGCCGCACGGGGACACCGACGCAAGGAUAAGACGUUGUGAUCGUCGUUUUCCUCGUUCGGCCCCCGCAAGUUGUUAACAAGCUAGAACAUGAAGUAGGCGAGAGGUGCGAAGCUGGGCGGUUUAGGGUAGUCCUUUGAAAAAAGUUUCACUCGUCACGAAAGUUGGGGGGUACAGUAAGGGAGAGUUACUAAACAAACUAGUACGACACGUACUCACGGACAACUCUUGUAAGUGCUCUACGGACAAAUCUUGUAAGUCCAUUACGGCUCACUCGUAUAAGGG